rnacentral:rRNA from 1 species
CGGCUGCAGUGGGGAAUUUUGGACAAUGGGGGCAACCCUGAUCCAGCCAUGCCGCGUGAGUGAAGAAGGCCUUCGGGUUGUAAAGCUCUUUCAGAUGGGAAGAAACGGACAUGGUUAAUAACUGUGUCUAAUGACGGUACCGUCAGAAGAAGCACCGGCUAACUACGUGCCAGCAGCCGCGGUAAUACGUAGGGUGCGAGCGUUAAUCGGAAUUACUGGGCGUAAAGCGUGCGCAGGCGGUUUUGUAAGACAGAUGUGAAAUCCCCGGGCUCAACCUGGGAACUGCAUUUGUGACUGCAAGGCUAGAGUACGGCAGAGGGGGGUAGAAUUCCACGUGUAGCAGUGAAAUGCGUAGAUAUGUGGAGGAAUACCGAUGGCGAAGGCAGCCCCCUGGGUCGAUACUGACGCUCAUGCACGAAAGCGUGGGGAGCAAACAGGAUUAGAUACCCCAGUAGUC